UACGUAGGGCGCAAGCGUUAAUCGGAAUUACUGGGCGUAAAGCGUGCGUAGACGGUUAUGUAAGUCAGGUGUGAAAGCCCCGGGCUCAACCUGGGAAUUGCAUUUGAGACUGCAUAGCUAGGGUGCGGAAGAGGGAAGCGGAAUUUCCGGUGUAGCGGUGAAAUGCGUAGAUAUCGGAAGGAACAUCAGUGGCGAAAGCGGCUUCCUGGUCCAGCACCGACGUUCAGGCACGAAAGCGUGGGGAGCAAACGGG
rnacentral:rRNA from 1 species